AUUCCUGCUAUUGGUUCCUUUGUUCAUUGUGUCAUGUUCUGAUUGGUUAUUCUCCUGUCAUGUGGUUUUCAGUUCUGAUUGCUCAUUGGUUGGUUCUUGUCAUGUGACCCUUAGUGUUUGCUAUAAGUAGCCAUCAUGUUGCCAUUGUCUCUCUUCAUGUAUUGAUGUUGUAACCUGCUGUUGGUGAGUCUAGUUUGUUUUAUGCCAAGUCAAAUCUGUUCAUCUCAGGUUUGUGCCAAGUCUGUUGAAGUCAAGUCAAGUCUGUUCAAGUCAAGUCUCUGUUUGGAUUAUGUUUGUGAAUAAACUGCAUGAAUUGCGUGAAUAAACUGCAUUAACAUGGGUUCUUCACUACACUCACCUCCAGUGGACUGAAUGUUACACAGAGAGCCUGUGAUGAGCCCAAAGCUGUGGGCCUCGCCUGGGCAAGCCCACACUGGGCCUGUUUAGGUUUGGUGUGGGCUGGCCCUAGCCCACUGUGCCCGCAAAAAGCCAGCAUGGGUCUCGCAAGGACAUGUUUGUAGGGUACGGCAGAAGCUGAAGUUGAACUUUUCAAGUGCCAAGACGGGCUUCUGCAAAUCAGCCUUAUGCAAAUACACUAGCGCAGAUGCUAGCCAAUUGCGUUCAUGCAACACCGGAAAAGUAAUGUGAUUGGCUGUUGCCACUUUGAUGGUCGAUGUCAGCACCAAGCUUCAGACAUACCCUCCGUCAAGUGUAGAUGCCGACUCCCCAUGUGAAUGUAUGUGAUUAAGUGACAUCUGAGGCAGUGAUUAAGUGACAUCUGAGGCAGUUGUGGUGUUCUAAUGGUUAAAUACCGGAACUGGUACUCCAAACAGAUGGACUCCAAACUGUAUAUCCCAGAAAGUGGACAGAAAUUUUUAACAAGACUAACUGUGGUGAAACAGAAGAGAAAUGGACCAGAACCUAUGUGUGGACAUUUUAAGCACAUAAGCAGCCAGGAUAAAUGAACUGAGAAAAAUGUAUUGGGAGCCAGCGCUGGACUAAGUUAGCAUCUCUGGCAUUGCUCCAGAUCCUCAUUAGACAUGGAGAACUGAGUUUGAGCAAACUGUGGUAUUUCACUAAAGGUUUAAGGAUAAGUUGUCUCUUUCAUUUAAUCUUUAGGGGAGGUUUGUAUGAUUUUUUUCAUAACACAGUCCUUUGUGCAGUUAAUUGGAAUAUGGCAUCACUACACGUGAGUCUUUCGCUCUUUCUGUAUUUUGGUUUGGCAUUUUUGAGCUUUCUCGACUUGUCGUUUUAAGUUUAUACAACAAAAAUUUGAGAAUCUCCCACAAAAAUAAGUUGAGCGAACUCAAACAUCUGCUGAAGCUGGUAAAACCAUUUUUUUUUAAGUAUGCUCUAAAAAUAAGUGGUUCAAAAUGGUUCAUUUAUUUGUGAAUCAGACUGGCCACAAUGUUAUUGUGUGCAACUUGU